rnacentral:rRNA from 1 species
AGAGUUUGAUCAUGGCUCAGAUUGAACGCUGGCGGCAGGCCUAACACAUGCAAGUCGAGCGGUAACAGGAGUGCUUGCACUCGCUGACGAGCGGCGGACGGGUGAGUAAUGCCUAAGAAUCUGCCUAGUGGUGGGGGAUAGCCCGGGGAAACUCGGAUUAAUACCGCAUACGCCCUACGGGGGAAAGCGGGGGAUCUUCGGACCUCGCGCCAUUAGAUGAGCUUAGGUCAGAUUAGCUAGUUGGUGAGGUAAUGGCUCACCAAGGCGACGAUCUGUAGCUGGUCUGAGAGGAUGAUCAGCCACACUGGGACUGAGACACGGCCCAGACUCCUACGGGAGGCAGCAGUGGGGAAUAUUGGACAAUGGGCGAAAGCCUGAUCCAGCCAUGCCGCGUGUGUGAAGAAGGCCCUAGGGUUGUAAAGCACUUUAAUCAGGGAAGAAAAAGCUUUGGCUAAUAUCCAAAGCCUUGACGGUACCUGAAGAAUAAGCACCGGCAAACUCUGUGCCAGCAGCCGCGGUAAUAC